CAGUAGCCACGGUAAUACGUAGGUGGCAAGCGUUGUCCGGAAUUAUUGGGCGUAAAGGGCUCGCAGGCGGUUUCUUAAGUCUGAUGUGAAAGCCCCCGGCUCAACCGGGGAGGGUCAUUGGAAACUGGGAAACUUGAGUGCAGAAGAGGAGAGCGGAAUUCCACGUGUAGCGGUGAAAUGCGUAGAGAUGUGGAGGAACACCAGUGGCGAAGGCGACUCUCUGGUCUGUAACUGACGCUGAGGAGCGAAAGCGUGGGGAGCGAACAGGAUUAGAGACCCGUGUAGUCCCUGUCUCUUAUAA
rnacentral:rRNA from 1 species